CCCGGGAAAAUCGUAAUUAAAAAAAAAAAAAAAAAAAAGAAAACCAAACUCUGAAAAAUUGAAACUGACGUUAAAACUUCUCUUUCAUAUUUUUAAGUUCUAACCCUAACUCCCUAAGCCCAAACUGAUUCUCUCAACCUCCCUCAAUCUCAACUUCUCAACGCGGUUGUCCCAACUCGCUCCGGCCACCGCCCACUGCCGACACCUCCCUCAUUCUCUCAGGCGAUGCACACCGAUAAUAUCUGGGAGUGAAGGAAGUCAAGGAACCACGGAUUCUUAUUCUUGCAAUAUGGAGAGCUCUCAAUCCAAACGGUCUGCUUCUUUUUCUGAACAAACGUCACAGCCACUUUAUGAAAAGGAUAUGGAAGAAUUGCAAUCUACUUUGCCUCCUGAUAAGAAGCUAAAAGCGGGGCGGGAAUAUAUAUGGAACAGAAAAAGUAAGAGGAAAGCUGAGUAUUGGAAAUAUUACUUAGAGUACGUCGGGAAUGGAAAACUACGAGCUGAAUGUAAGUUCUGUCCUAAAACUUUUGUUGCUGAUGGUAAUCUUAAUGGUUCAAAAAAUGUUAAAAACCAUGCAGAAUCAUGUCUCGGUAAUCCUAUUAAUAUAGAAAAAGAAAAGGGCAAAGAAAAGCAAACUAAAUUGUAUUUUGAUCAAGAACAUGAGAGUAGUGAAUUAAAGUGUGGGAGUAAGAUUAUUAACUUGAAUGA